GUUAAGCUCUCCCUUUAUUUCUGUCGAGGAAUGUGCUAUUGAAGAGGCAGGCCAAGCUAUGAACAAAGAUGGGGUCCUUGGGGACCACUCUGCUUAGGGCUUAUGGCAUCCAACUUGUGAAACAGUUGCUCCUUUAUGCAGCCAGCUACAAGGUGAUGAGUUAAUAUAUAGUUGUCUUACACGUUCAGUUACCGUCCAAUAAAUAGGCUGACGUUGCUACAGAUGCAAAGUCUUGCAUAUAGGCAGAUGCACACGCUGGUAGAUUAGUGAUUUUAGUUGCUGUGUCUAAAGCCAUCCCAGGGAAACUUUCAUGUCAGAUAUGAAUACGACUAAGCACAUUGAAGUUGUCUGCAAUACACUUUAGUCCUCUAAUUUUCAAACAAUCAUGACUUAGUUCCUGCAAUUGUUCAUACCCUUUUCCAUAGAGAGUCAGGUACUUUACUGCAAGC
rnacentral:misc_RNA from 1 species